AUUGAACGCUGGCGGCAUGCCUUACACAUACAAGUCGAACGGUAACGGGUCCUCCGGGAUGCCGACGAGUGGCGAACGGGUGAGUAAUAUAUCGGAACGUGCCCAGUAGUGGGGGACAACUGCUCGAAAGAGCAGCUAAUACCGCAUACGACCUGAGGGUGAAAGGGGGGGAUCGCAAGACCUCUCGCUAUUGGAGCGGCCGAUAUCAGAUUAGCUAGUUGGUGGGGUAAAGGCCUACCAAGGCAACGAUCUGUAGUUGGUCUGAGAGGACGACCAGCCACACUGGGACUGAGACACGGCCCAGACUCCUACGGGAGGCAGCAGUGGGGAAUUUUGGACAAUGGGCGCAAGCCUGAUCCAGCAAUGCCGCGUGCAGGAAGAAGGCCUUCGGGUUGUAACUGCUUUUGUCAGGGAAGAAAUCUUCUGGGCUAAUACCCCGGGAGGAUGACGGUACCUGAAGAAUAAGCACCGGCUAACUACGUGCCAGCCGCCGCCGUAA
rnacentral:rRNA from 1 species